AAACGCGCCGCCCAACAACUGGAUGCUUAAAACCCACACUCCAUCUUUGGUACAAGUUCUAGCUGGCAUAGCACUCCCCGAUAUUGUUUUUAUUAAGUGAAUUCGCUUCGCGGCACCACUGUGUAGGGGACUGUGUAACCGUUUGCAAUUACCACUACAGGUGGCAGAAAACAGUGUUUGAUAUUGGCGCCGAAAUAAGGGCAAUGCGAUGCGCACCACGUCGACCGUAGGCAGUUAAAAAUAGCGUUU